GUUGUCGUGGCCGAGUGGUUAAGGCGAUGGAUUCUAAAUCCAUUGGGGACUCCCCGCGCAGGUUUAAAUUCUGGCCACAACG
rnacentral:tRNA from 1 species